rnacentral:rRNA from 1 species
GCUGCGGCAGCGACACUAUGUGUUGUUGGGUAGGGGAGCGUUCUGUAAGCCUGUGAAGGUGGCCUGUGAGGGUUGCUGGAGGUAUCAGAAGUGCGAAUGCUGACAUAAGUAACGAUAAAGCGGGUGAAAAGCCCGCUCGCCGGAAGACCAAGGGUUCCUGUCCAACGUUAAUCGGGGCAGGGUGAGUCGACCCCUAAGGCGAGGCCGAAAGGCGUAGUCGAUGGGAAACAGGUUAAUAUUCCUGUACUUGGUGUUACUGCGAAGGGGGGACGGAGAAGGCUAUGUUGGCCGGGCGACGGUUGUCCCGGUUUAAGCGUGUAGGCUGGUUUUCCAGGCAAAUCCGGAAAACCAAGGCUGAGGCGUGAUGACGAGGCACUACGGUGCUGAAGCGACAAAUGCCCUGCUUCCAGGAAAAGCCUCUAAGCAUCAGGUAACAUCAAAUCGUACCCCAAACCGACACAGGUGGUCAGGUAGAGAAUACCAAGGCGCUUGAGAGAACUCGGGUGAAGGAACUAGGCAAAAUGGUGCCGUAACUUCGGGAGAAGGCACGCUGAUAUGUAGGUGAAGCGACUUGCUCGUGGAGCUGAAAUCAGUCGAAGAUACCAGCUGGCUGCAACUGUUUAUUAAAAACACAGCACUGUGCAAACACGAAAGUGGACGUAUACGGUGUGACGCCUGCCCGGUGCCGGAAGGUUAAUUGAUGGGGUUAGCGGUAACGCGAAGCUCUUGAUCGAAGCCCCGGUAAACGGCGGCCGUAACUAUAACGGUCCUAAGGUAGCGAAAUUCCUUGUCGGGUAAGUUCCGACCUGCACGAAUGGCGUAAUGAUGGCCAGGCUGUCUCCACCCGAGACUCAGUGAAAUUGAACUCGCUGUGAAGAUGCAGUGUACCCGCGGCAAGACGGAAAGACCCCGUGAACCUUUACUAUAGCUUGACACUGAACAUUGAGCCUUGAUGUGUAGGAUAGGUGGGAGGCUUUGAAGUGUGGACGCCAGUCUGCAUGGAGCCGACCUUGAAAUACCACCCUUUAAUGUUUGAUGUUCUAACGUUGGCCCGUAAUCCGGGUUGCGGACAGUGUCUGGUGGGUAGUUUGACUGGGGCGGUCUCCUCCUAAAGAGUAACGGAGGAGCACGAAGGUUGGCUAAUCCUGGUCGGACAUCAGGAGGUUAGUGCAAUGGCAUAAGCCAGCUUGACUGCGAGCGUGACGGCGCGAGCAGGUGCGAAAGCAGGUCAUAGUGAUCCGGUGGUUCUGAAUGGAAGGGCCAUCGCUCAACGGAUAAAAGGUACUCCGGGGAUAACAGGCUGAUACCGCCCAAGAGUUCAUAUCGACGGCGGUGUUUGGCACCUCGAUGUCGGCUCAUCACAUCCUGGGGCUGAAGUAGGUCCCAAGGGUAUGGCUGUUCGCCAUUUAAAGUGGUACGCGAGCUGGGUUUAGAACGUCGUGAGACAGUUCGGUCCCUAUCUGCCGUGGGCGCUGGAGAACUGAGGGGGGCUGCUCCUAGUACGAGAGGACCGGAGUGGACGCAUCACUGGUGUUCGGGUUGUCAUGCCAAUGGCACUGCCCGGUAGCUAAAUGCGGAAGAGAUAAGUGCUGAAAGCAUCUAAGCACGAAACUUGCCCCGAGAUG